UGGCUGGGUGAAGGGGCGGGGAGGAGAGGAGGGAAGGGGCUGGCUAGAGGUCGCGUAGAGAGGGAAGCGGGCGGGCGGUUGUGCCGUGAGGCCUGGGCGUGGACUUUGAAGUCCCGGUGGCGUCUUGGGCUGGGAGUCUGGUGGCGUUUGAAAGGGAGAAAAGCCGUACCCUUCUCCAGCCGCACGCUGCAACUUCCACUUUCCUCGUUUUGGUCUGCGCAGUCUCGUAGGCAUUUCCCCGAGUUGGAAAAGUGUCCACGACGGAAAGCCUCUGCUUUCGGGCGGCUCUGCGGAGGACGCACCUGGGAAGAGUGCAUGAGUAACAGCGCUCCACCUGUGUGUUGUGCUUGAGUGCUUUUUUUCCCCCUAUGUUGUCCACAGCCACUUAGGCCGUGGGGUUUAUUUUUGUGAUUUCUGGGUCAAAAGGUAUCCAGUUAGAAAGUGUAAGAGCUGACUUUUUAAACGAGAUUUCGGUAGCGUGUUUUUAAACCACGCUGUGAUUGAAAACAAAGUAAAAGGAGAAACAGUACAAGGUAAAAUUUUUGCUUAGUGGUUAAGACUAACACCACAUGUAUCAAUUGAUUAAUCUCUUCCGCCUUUGUAAGCGACUACUGCAGUAGAGUUUCUUUCCGCGAGUAGAUAGGUCUCAGACUCUGAGCCAUUGCAUAUUGGCCUGUGAAUAAAAUGUAUCUUCUAAAUUGUAACUAUUUGGGGGCACCUGGGUGGCCCAGUCUUUGAGCAUUGGGCUCUUGAUUUCAGCUCAGGUCAUGAUCCUGAGGUACUUGUGAUGGAGCCUCACCUUGGGCUCUGUGCUGACAGUGUAGAGCCUGCUUGGGAUUUUCUCACUCCCUCUGCCUCCUCCCCACUCGCGUGUGCUCUCUUGCUCCCAUAAAUAAAUAAAUAACUUUAUUUGGCAAAGACUACAGAGAACAGGCAGAAGUAUUUCUAAAAAGCAAGCGAUAAUGCUUUUAAGUGAGUUUCUUAUUAAUGCUCCAGGCCUUUGUCCUCGUUUGGGGGCUUAGCCUAUGUGCAGUGUAUUGCCGUAUUUUGGCUUUGGCUGUAUCGGUUACAUAUUCAAUAUAGAGCUAUUGAUUUGGUUGCAGUAGGCAGUUUGUAACAGUUGUCUGCGUAACUUUAUCUCUUACCUACAUUGCUUGCUUCACAUCUGUCCCUGCUUAGAGAAGUUCUGGGAUAGAUUGAUUUAAAGCACCAUUUAUAAGGUGCUUACCCCCAACACUCGUUAUGAUACAAACUCAAACUAAGAAUAUAAGAGAACUUCUCAACUUGUUGAAGAAAAUUUGUAAAAACCCUCCUGUUAGUAUCAUAAUUAAUGGUGAGAAACUAGAAGCUUUCCUACUGAGGCAAAGAUGUCCCCUCUCAUCACACCUUUCAAAAUUGUACUGGAAAUCCUUGCUAAUACAGUAAGAAAGGUAAGUAAAAAGUGAACAGAUUGAGAAGGAAAAAAAAAUAUGUUGAAGGAUAGCAUACUUUUUUGUAGGAAAUUUCAAAGUAUUGAAAAAAAAUGGAACAAGUGAUUAUUGCAAGAUUUUAAGAUACACAGUUAUUACCCAGGAGUCAUUUGCUUUCCUAUAUACCAGCAAUGUCCAAUUGGUAUUUGAAAUUUAAAGCACAAUACCAUUUAUAAAAAUUAAUAGGUAUGAAUCUAAAAUAUGUUACAGGAUCUAUGUGUAGAACUGCAAAACUCUAAGGCAAUCAAAGAAGAUAUAAAAAGAAGAAUAUUUUGGGUUUAUGGAUUGGAAGACACUAUCAUUUGAUGUCAAUUCUUCCCAACUUGAUCUAUAGAUUCAGUGCAAUCUCAAUCAAAAUUUUAGCAAGUUAUUUUGUAGAUAUCAACAAAUUAAUUCUGCAGUUUAUACAGAAAGGCAAAAGACUGUCCAAAACCAGCACAAUCUGAAGAAGUUGGACGGACGCUACCUGAUCUCAAAGCUACAGUAAGACAGCAUAUAUUGGCAAAAGAAUAGAUCAAUGAAACAGGAUAGGGAACCCAGAAAUAGACCCACAAAAAUGGUCAACUGAUUUUUGAAAAAGGAGCAAAAGCAAUAUAAUUGAGAAAGGAUAGUCUUUUCAACAAAUGAUGCUAGAAAAACUGGAUAUUCAUAUGCAAAAAAAAGCUACACACAGACCUCACACUGUUCACAAUAAUUAAUUCUAAAUAGAUCAUAUCCCUAAAUGUAAAAUGCAAAACUAUAAAGCUUCUAGAAGAUGGCACAAGAGAAGACUAGGUGACCUUUUUUUUUUGUUUGGCAGUUGUUUUCACAUAAAACACCAAAAGCAUGAUCCAUGAAAGAAAAGAUUAAGUUGGAUUUCACUAGAAUUAAAGACCUUUGCUCUGCAAAUGACCCCGCAAAGAAAAUAAAAAUAUGAAAAAAUCUGCAAACACGUGUCUGAUAAAAUACUUAUAUCCAAAAUAUAAAAGAACUCUUAGAAUUCAACAGUAAGACAUCCCAAUUUUUAAAAAAUUGAAACAUAAUUAACAUAUAUCAGUUUUAGCCAUAGAACAUGUAGAUUCAACAAUUCUAUACAUUACUCAAUGCUCACUGCAAUAAGUUUUUUUAUCUGUUACUGUAUGUUAUUGCAAUAUUAUUCACUAUAUUUCCUAUGCUGUACUCUAUCUCACUGACUUAUUUUAUAACUGGAAAAUUGUAUCUCUUAAUCCCAUUUAUAUAUUUCACCCAUCCCCCUACCAACCUCCCCUCUGGAAACCACCAGUUUGUUCUCUGUAUUUAAGAGUUUUGUUUGUUUUUUUAGAUUCCAAAUAUGAGUGAAAUUGUAUUUGUCUUAGUCUAUUUCACUUAGCAUAACACCCUUUAUGUCCAUCUCUGUUGUUGCAAAUGGCAAGGUCUCACUCUUUUCUAUGGCUGAGUAAUAUAUCAUUGUGUGCGUGUGCACACACACACUUGAUGUCUUUAUUCAUCCAUAGACGCGUGAUUGGAUUGCUUCCAUAUCUUGGCUAUUGUAAAUAAUGCUGCAAUUAACAUAGGGGUGCAUGUAUCUUUUCAAAUUAGUGUUUUCAUUUUCUUUGGGUAAAUACCUAGUAGUGGAACUACUAGAUCAUGGGGUACUUUUAUUUUUAACUUUUUAAAAAUGUUUUAUUUAUUUUUGAGAGAGAGAGAGAGAGAGAGAGCAUGGACAGGGGAGGGAGCAGAGAGAGAGGGAGACACAGACUCUGAAACAGGCUCCAGGUUCUGAGUGUCAGCAAGGAGCCCGACGCGAGGCUCUAACUCACAAACUGUGAGGUCAUAACCUGAGCUGAAGUCGGAUGCUUACCAACUCAGCCACCCAGGUGCCCCAUCUAACUUUUUUUUUUUUUUUUUAAGUUUAGCUUGAGAGAGAGGGUGCAUGCCAGAGAGCAGGGGAGGGGCAGAGAGAGAGUGAGAGAGAGAGUCUACCAAGCAGGCUCCUCACUGUCAGCAUGGAGCCCUGAAGGUCUCGAACUCACAAACUAUGAGAUCAUGACCUGAGCCAAAAUCAAGAGUCGGAUGCUCAAAUGACUGAGCCACCCAGGCACCCUAUAUUUUUAGCUUUUUAAAAAAAUUUUAUUUUUAAUUUUUUUAAAUUUAUGUCCAAAUUAGCAUACAGUGCAACAAUGAUUUCAGCAGUAGAUUCCUUAGUGCCCCUUACCCAUUUAGCCCAUCCCCCCCCCACAACCCCUCCAGUAACCCUCAGUUUGUUCUCCAUAUUUAUGAGUCUCUUCUGUUUUGUCCCCCUCCCUGUUUUUAUAUUAUUUUUGUUUCCCUUAUUUUCAUCUUUCUUGUGUCUUAAAGUCCUCAUAUGAGUGAAGUCAUAUGAUUUUUGUCUUUCUCUGACUAAUUUCACUUAGCAUAAUACCCUCCAGUUCCAUCCACGUAGUUACAAAUGGCAAGAUUUCAUUCUUUUUGAUUGCCGAGUAACACUCCAUUUUAUGUAUAUACCACAUCUUCUUUAUCCAUUCAUCCAUCGAUGGACAUUUGGGCUCUUUCCAUACUUUGGCUAUUGUUGAUAGUGCGGCUAUAAACAUGGGGGUGCAUGUGUCCCUUUGAAACAGCACACCUGUAUCCCUUGGAUAAAUGCCUAGUGGUGCAAUUUCUGGGUCGUAGGGUAGUUCUGUUUUUAGUUUUUUGGGGAACUGCCAUACUGUUUUCCAGAGUGGCUGCACCAGCUUGCAUUCCCAUAUUUUUAGCUUUUUGAGGAACCUCCGUACCAUUUUCCACAGUGGCUGUACCAGUUUACAUGCCCACCAAUACUACAUAAGGGUACCUUUUUCUCCACAUCCUCACCAACACUUGUUCGUUCUUUUUUUUUUUUUUAAUUAUUUUUUAUUUUUAGAGAGAGCACAUGUGCAAGGAGGGGAGAGGCAGAGAAAGGGAGAGAGAAUCCUAAGCAGGCUCUUUGCUGAUAGUGCAGAACCUAAUGCGGAGCUUGAUCUCAUGAACCGUGAGAUCAUUACCUGAGAUGAAAUAAAAAGUUGGAUGCAACAGAGCCAUCCAGACACCCCUAUUUCUUGUGGUUUUAAUAUUAGCCAUUAUGACAGGUAUGAGUUGAUGUCUCAUUGUGGCUUUGGUUUGCAUUUUCUUGAUGAUUAGUGAUGUUGAGCAUCUUUUCAUGUGUCUGUUGGCCAUCUGUCUUUUUUGGAAAAAUGACUAUUUAGGUCCUUUGCCCAUUUAAAAUUUUUUUUUAAUGUUUUUAUUUAUUCUCGAGACAGAGACAGAGCAUGAGCAGGGGAGGGGCAGAGAGAGAGGAAGACACAGAAUCUGAAGCAGGCUCCAAGCUCUCAGCUGUCAACACAGAGCCCAACGCGGGGCUUGAACUCACGGACUGUGAGAUCAUGACUUGAGCUGAAGUCGGACACUUAACUGACUGAGCCAUCCAGGAGCCCCUUAGCAUUUAAAAAAAUUUUUUUUAAUGUUUUUUCCUUUGCCUAUUUUUAAUUGGAAUUUUAUUAUUAUUAUAUUAUUAUUAUUAUUGGUGUAAACUUGUAUAAGUUCUUCAUUUAUUUUGGAUAUUAACCCCUUAUUGGAUAUAUCAUUUGCAAAUAUCUUCAUUUUGUUUUUUUGGUGGUUUCCUUCACAAUGCAAAAGCUUUUUAUUUUGAUGUGGUCCUAGUAGUUUAUUUUUGCUUUUGUUUCCUCUACCUGAGAAGACAUACAUACAAAGAUGUUGCUGAGAUUGAUGUCCAAGAGAUUAGUGCCUAUAUUUUCUUCUAGGAGUUUUAUGAUCUCGGAUCUUGAAUCCAGUUUGAGUUGACUUUUGUGUCUGGUGUGAGAAAGUUGUCCACUUUCAUUCUUUGGCAUGUAGCUGUCCAGUUUCCCCAGAACUGUUUAUUGAAGAGAUUGUCUUUUCCUCAUUGUAUAUUUUUGCCUCAUGCCUUGUAAGCAUGAGUUUAUUUCUGGGUUCUAUUCUGUUCCAUUGAUCUAUGUGUCCAUUUUUUAUACUGUUUUGAUUACUACAGCUUUGUAGUGUAUCUUGAAAUUUGGGAUUGUGAUACCUCCAGCAAGUUCGGCUGCCCAUUGCUUGAAAAGCCAUUACUCAAGAGCAAAUUUUUUCGUUUGUUUUUUAAAAGUUUAUUGAUUUAUUUUGAGAGAGAGAGAGCGCAUGUGCAUGACCAGGGAGGAGCAGAGAGAGAGAGAGGGAGAGAGAAUCUCAAGCAUGCUCCCCACUGUCAAUGCAGCUCUGGUCAUAGGGAUGGAUCCCAUGAACUGUGAGAUCAUUACCUGAGCUGAAAUCAAGAGUUGGACACUCAACUGAUUGAGCCACUCAGGUGCCACUCAAGAGACAAAUUUUGAUUAGAAAGGAAUUUGAGCUUUAAUCUGAAGGCUGGCAACCUGAGGAGGUGAACUCUUGUCCAAAAGCUGACUCCGAGGGGCCUCUGGGUGGCUCAGUUGGUUAAGUGUCCAACUUUGGCUCAGGUCAUCAUCUCGUGGUCAGUGAGAUCGAGCCCUGAGUUGGGCUCUGUGUUGACAGUGUGGAGCCUGCUUGGGAUUCUCUGUCUUCCUCUCUCUGCCCCUCCCCCACUCACACUCUAUCUCUCCCUCUCAAAAUUAAUGAAUAAAUCUUUAUUUUAUUUUUUAAAUGUUUAUUUUUUGAGAGCGUGCACAUGCAAGAGAUAGAGAUAGAUAGAGUGAGUGGGGGAGGGGCAGAGAGAAAAUCUGAAGCAGGCUCCCGGCUCUGAGCUGUCAGCACAGAGCCUGACACAAGGACCACAAACCAUGAGAUCGUGACUUAACCAACUGAGCCACCCAAGCACCCCACUAAAUAAAACUUUAAAUUAAAAAAAACAAAAGCCAACUCCGAGGUUUCUGCCUGGAGCAGGAGUUUUUAAAGAUGUUUAGCGUGGUUAAUCAGCAAACAGAGUGCAGUGGCCUGCAACCUUUCUUGAUUAUAUGAAGACUUGAUGCCAGCUACAAAAGUUAUCUCAGUGUUUGUGGGUUGUGCAACAGAGUCUGGUUCUUGUUUCAUGAUAUGCAGUAGUACUCUGUUUUUCUGCAGAGAAGGGCUGGGUUUAUAGAUAACAAUGAGAGGUCAGUAAAAUCAUUUGUGUGGCCUAAAAAAAGAAAAACAUUUUGCUAAAAAAAUUUUAGGCUAAUGAGAAAGCCAAGGUGGCUUCAAACAGAAUUGCUGGCUUCUGUGACCUGGGAAAGUUCUGGUCCUUAUUCCUCAAGAUCAGUGGUCUGCAAAUCUCAAAGAAAGUAAAUUAGUUCUGUUACAGAUCAAGGGACUCAGGUCAGCAAGUAAGGAAUGUUUUAUCUUGAGGCAAGUUAACACAUAAGAUCAUCUGGAGUGCUGUUACCUUUGAUAGGGAUUGCAUUAAAUCUAUAGAUUGCUUUGGGUAGUAUGCACAUUUUAACAAUGUUGAUUCUUGGACUCUAUCAGUAUGUAAUAGCUUUCCUUUUGUUUGUGUCAGUGUUUUAUAGUUUUCACAGUGCAGGUCUUUUACCUCUUGGUUAAGUUUAUUCUUGGAUAUUUUAUUUUUUAUCAGUUUCUAAUAGUUUUUUGGUGGAGUCUUUAGGGUUUUCUAUAUAUAAGAUCUGCAAAUAGUGAGUUUUACUUCUUCCUUACCAAUUUGCAUGGCUUUUACUUCUUUUUGUUGUCUGAGCUGUGGCUAGGACUUUGAGGACUAUGUUGAAUAAAAGUAGUGAGAGUGGGGAUCCUCUUGAUACUGACCUUAGAGGAAAUGCUUUCAGUUUUUCACCAUUGAGUAUGAUGUUGGUUGUGGGUUUUUCAUAUAUGGCUCUUACUAGGUUGAGGUAUGUUUCCUCUAAACCCACUUUGUUGAGAGGAAAACAUCCCACUUUUAAACUGGGUAAAAGAUCUGAACCCACAUCUCACAAAGAAGAUAUACAGAUGGCAAAUAAGCAUAUGAAAAGAUUUUCAACAUUUUUAUGUCAUAAGGGUGUUCUUAGUAGUAGUUUAUCACUGCAAAAGAGUGGAAGCAUGACUGUCCUUGAAUUGCAAUGUAAUACUGUUCAGCUAGUAAAAGGAAGAAGGCAUCCAAGUGUUGAAAGGGAAACAAAACAAAACUGUCAACUAAGAAUGCCUGGCAAAGUUGUCCUUCAGAAUUGAAAGAUAAAGAAUUUUCUGGACAAAGACAAUCUCAAGGAGCUCCUCACCACUAGACUGGCCUUACGCGAAAUGUUAAAGGGACUUCUUUAAGCUGAAAUUAAAGGGUACUAAUUAGUAACAAGAAAACAUAUGAAAAUAUAAAUCUCACUGAUAAAGAAUUCAGCCAGAGGUACAUGAACCACAGAUGUUUAUCACCCCUCCAAGACCAAGUUCAUUUUCAGCAGCCCAGAUGAGACCACCAUAAAUGAAAGAGAGACAGAGAAUGAACAGGGGAGGAGCAGAGAGAGAGGGAGACACAGAAUCCAAAACAGGCUCCAGGCUCCGAGCUGUCAGAGCCCGACGCGGGGCUCGAACUCACGGACCCUGAGAUCAUGACCUGAGCCGAAGUCAGACGACUAACCGACCAAGCCACCCAGAGAGAGGCCGAGUAACUGGUUGCUGAUCCUACACUCUGCUCCCAUAAGCCAUCCACAUGGCAGACCUGACUUACCUUUCCUAUGACAUCUGUUAACAGUUUAAGUGCCAGAGGAUCAUGAACCAAGGAGUCUGUGUAAAAGGAACCAAGGAUCAGAGGAGAAGCACGUAAAGAAGAAAGAAGUUUUGGUAUCAAGAGAUCUCCAUAAAAACCAUGGAGUUAAUUGAUUUACGUUGCCC